rnacentral:lncRNA from 1 species
AUUAUUUUCUCUCUUUUGGGGAUGGGGCUUCCAUAAUUUUAUGUUAUUCUUCCUCUUAGUAGAAACAUGUGUCUCAUCUUGAGUAAAACAAAUAUCUCCAUUUAGUUUGUAGAUGGUAUCCUUUGGAGAUAAUGAUAGGGAGUUCAAACUUCCUUUUUAGAAGGACCAUAAGUUCUCUAGUAUGUUCUCUAGUUCUCUUCAGGUAAAUUGGUUGGUGGGAGAGAUUGGUUUGGUAGUUAAUGUAGACUUGGUUUGGGAUCUUAGAUGAAGGAUAUUCUUUUUUCUUAGGAAAAUACAUAUGUGGGAGAACCUUUUCACUCUACUUUGAGAUGUCACUCUUUCUCUAGAAAUAGAUUAGUAGAUGUGGAAGUGUUUUAUAAAGGAUUAUUUCUUAAUUACAUGUGUUUACCAUGUUCAACGAGUUAGAUUUAUCUCUACUUUAGCUACU